rnacentral:rRNA from 1 species
UACAGAGGUCCCGAGCGUUGUUCGGAUUCACUGGGCGUAAAGGGUGCGUAGGUGGCUUGAAAAGUUUGAUGUGAAAGCUCAGGGCUUAACCCUGAAAUGGCAUUGAAUACUGUCGAGCUGGAGGUUUGGAGGGACUGGAAUUCUUGGUGUAGCGGUGAAAUGCGCAGAUAUCAGGAGGAACACCGGUGGCGAAGGCGGGUCUCUGGCCGAUACUGACGCUGAGGAGCGAAAGCGUGGGAGCGAACAGG